GACGAACGCUGGCGGCGUGCUUAACACAUGCAAGUCGAACGGAAAGGCCCUGCUUGCAGGGUGCUCGAGUGGCGAACGGGUGAGUAACACGUGGGUGAUCUGCCCCUUACUUUGGGAUAAGCCUGGGAAACUGGGUCUAAUACUGGAUAGGACCAUGCUGUAGGUGGUGUGGUGGAAAGAUUAGUUUCGGUAAGGGAUGAGCUCGCGGCCUAUCAGCUUGUUGGUGGGGUAAUGGCAUACCAAGGCGUCGACGGGUAGCCGGCAUGCGAGGGUGGACGGCCACAUUGGGACUGAGAUACGGCCCAGACUAGUACGGGAGGCAGCAGUGGGGAAUAUUGCACAAUGGGCGCAAGCCUGAUGCAGCGAGGCCGCGUGGGGGAUGAAGGCCUUCGGGUUGUAAACUCCUUUCAGCCAUGACGAAGCCCUUGUGGUGACGGUAGUGGUAGAAGAAGCACCGGCUAACUACGU
rnacentral:rRNA from 1 species